ACUGAAAAUGCCUAGAUGAGUAUAUUAACUCCAUAAACA
rnacentral:tRNA from 1 species